AGCAAGUAAAGAAAGACCGCUUCUAGAGGCCGAUGUACUAAAGCAGGUAGUUGCUUAGUAAAACGAUAAGCAAGCCGUCAACUUUUAGCUGUAUUGAAAGAUGAAUCAGUCACACGGGGGAUGAAAAAUACCCCGCCGUAGGCAGCAGUGGAGAAUAUUGGUCAAUAAGCGAAAGCUUGAACCAGGGUUUUGCGGGGAUGAGAGAUUACUAAAAUCGUGAAGGCUAUGGUAGCCGUAAAGUUCGUGCGCUGGCUGGAAUAAUGAUAUUAAGCCGGAAGAGAACCCCGGGCUAACGACGUGCCAGCAGCUGCGGUAAUACGUUGACGGGGGAGCGUUACUGGUCAUUACUAGGCGUAAAGUGCGGCUAGAUGGUUUAAGAAGUUAUCAGUUAAACAGAAGGAAAAACGAAACUUUUGAUAAUACCUUAAUACUAGAGAAUGGAGGAGGUUAGUAGCACGCAUGACCUAGAGAUAAAAUUCUGACAGGUUAUGAGGGUUUUCAAAUGCCACGGCAGCUAACUACUUUAUUUCUGACAUUGAACCGCUAAAGUACGAGUAUCGAAUAGGAUUGGAGACCCUAAUAGUUCGUACCCUGAAUCAAUGGGCAUUUCAUGUUGGGAAAGUAAUCCCGGUGUGUAAGCUAACGCGUAAAUGCCUCGCCUGGGGAGUAAGGCUGCAAAGGCAAAACUUAAAAAGAUUGGCGGGAGUUUGUAUGAACGGUGGAGCGUGUGGUUUAAUUCGAUAAUCCACGUGGAAUCUUACCAACGUAUAGACUAGAAAUUAUGUUCAGGUUUACCCUACAUGUCGAAGUUUCUAGUUAAUGGUACUGCAUGGCUGUCGUCAGUUCGUGUUGUAGAAUGUAAUAUUAAGUUAUUUAACGAACGCAACCCUUAUCGUAAGUUUUCUUGU
rnacentral:rRNA from 1 species